GAUUAAGUUAUUAAGGGCGCACGGUGGAUGCCUUGGCACUAGAAGCCGAUGAAGGACGUUACUAACGACGAUAUGCUUUGGGUAGCUGUAAGUAAGCGUUGAUCCAGAGAUUUCCGAAUGGGGGAACCCAGCAUGAGUUAUGUCAUGUUAUCGACAUGUGAAUUCAUAGCAUGUCAGAAGGCAGACCCGGAGAACUGAAACAUCUUAGUACCCGGAGGAAGAGAAAGAAAAAUCGAUUCCCUGAGUAGCGGCGAGCGAAACGGGAAGAGCCCAAACCAACAAGCUUGCUUGUUGGGGUUGUAGGACACUCUAUACGGAGUUACAAAAGAACAUGUUAGACGAAUCAUCUGGAAAGAUGAAUCAAAGAAGGUAAUAAUCCUGUAGUCGAAAACAUAUUCUCUCUUGAGUGGAUCCUGAGUACGACGGAGCACGUGAAAUUCCGUCGGAAUCUGGGAGGACCAUCUCCUAAGGCUAAAUACUCUCUAGUGACCGAUAGUGAACCAGUACCGUGAGGGAAAGGUGAAAAGUACCCCGGAAGGGGAGUGAAAGAGAACUUGAAACCGUGUGCUUACAAGUAGUCAGAGCCCGUUAAUGGGUGAUGGCGUGCCUUUUGUAGAAUGAACCGGCGAGUUACGAUCUGAUGCAAGGUUAAGCAGCAAAUGUGGAGCCGCAGCGAAAGCGAGUCUGAAUAGGGCGUUGAGUAUUUGGUCGUAGACCCGAAACCAGGUGAUCUACCCUUGGUCAGGUUGAAGUUCAGGUAACACUGAAUGGAGGACCGAACCGACUUACGUUGAAAAGUGAGCGGAUGAACUGAGGGUAGCGGAGAAAUUCCAAUCGAACUUGGAGAUAGCUGGUUCUCUCCGAAAUAGCUUUAGGGCUAGCCUCAAGUGAUGAUUAUUGGAGGUAGAGCACUGUUUGGACGAGGGGCCCCUCUCGGGUUACCGAAUUCAGACAAACUCCGAAUGCCAAUUAAUUUAACUUGGGAGUCAGAACAUGGGUGAUAAGGUCCGUGUUCGAAAGGGAAACAGCCCAGACCACCAGCUAAGGUCCCAAAAUAUAUGUUAAGUGGAAAAGGAUGUGGCGUUGCCCAGACAACUAGGAUGUUGGCUUAGAAGCAGCCAUCAUUUAAAGAGUGCGUAAUAGCUCACUAGUCGAGUGACACUGCGCCGAAAAUGUACCGGGGCUAAACAUAUUACCGAAGCUGUGGAUUGUCCUUUGGACAAUGGUAGGAGAGCGUUCUAAGGGCGUCGAAGCAUGAUCGCAAGGACAUGUGGAGCGCUUAGAAGUGAGAAUGCCGGUGUGAGUAGCGAAAGACGGGUGAGAAUCCCGUCCACCGAUUGACUAAGGUUUCCAGAGGAAGGCUCGUCCGCUCUGGGUUAGUCGGGUCCUAAGCUGAGGCCGACAGGCGUAGGCGAUGGAUAACAGGUUGAUAUUCCUGUACCACCUAGUAUCGUUUUAAUCGAUGGGGGGACGCAGUAGGAUAGGCGAAGCGUGCUGUUGGAGUGCACGUCCAAGCAGUAAGGCUGAGUGUUAGGCAAA
rnacentral:rRNA from 1 species